CAGCCGCCGCGGUAAUACGUAGGGUGCGAGCGUUAAUCGGAAUUACUGGGCGUAAAGCGUGCGCAGGCGGUUUUGUAAGACAGAGGUGAAAUCCCCGGGCUCAACCUGGGAACUGCCUUUGUGACUGCAAGGCUAGAGUACGGCAGAGGGGGAUGGAAUUCCGCGUGUAGCAGUGAAAUGCGUAGAUAUGCGGAGGAACACCGAUGGCGAAGGCAAUCCCCUGGGCCUGUACUGACGCUCAUGCACGAAAGCGUGGGGAGCAAACAGGAUUAGAUACCCCAGUAGUCCCUGUCUCUUAUAC
rnacentral:rRNA from 1 species